rnacentral:rRNA from 1 species
CGAACGGGUGAGUAACGCGUGAGGAACCUGCCUCAAAGAGGGGGACAACAGUUGGAAACGACUGCUAAUACCGCAUAAGCCCACGGGUCUGCAUCGACCAGAGGGAAAAGGAGCAAUCCGCUUUGAGAUGGCCUCGCGUCCGAUUAGCUAGUUGGUGAGGUAAUGGCCCACCAAGGCGACGAUCGGUAGCCGGACUGAGAGGUUGAACGGCCACAUUGGGACUGAGACACGGCCCAG